AGGUUAUGUAUGUAUCUAUUUUUCAACGAUUUUUCAUUGUUUAUCGUCGUAUUUUGGAUUCAUGAUUCAUUUGGAUUUCGUUUCCUGUUUUUGUGAACUUUAUAAACUUUACCACAAUGCAAACUGAUUAUUUAAGGAAAUUAUUAUUGUAAACUCCAGAUGUUGCGAGAAUGAUAUUUAUUGAAGCUGAAAAUAAUUGGGGAUUUAGAUCCAUAAACAAUUCAGUCAGAAUUGGAUUUUACAGUAAAGUGCAGUCCAUCAAGUUACUAUUAUAGAUAUUUAUACAUAUCUGGUGGAGUCUGACAGUUGCUACUCUAAGCAGCAGAUGAAAGCAUACAAAAGCCUUCAGGCACAAAUAUUUUACAGCUGGAUUUGUUUUAAAUGGAGUAAAAAUUGUUAAUGAUUUCCUGAUUUCCAUAUUAUUGUCGGAAAGGUGAAGCAUUUCCAAAAAUCUAAUGCUAAACGACUAAAUGCUUGGGUGGGGUGAUAGCCAGUUCUGAUGACAUAGCAAAUUCACAUUGUAUGCGUAUGGCCGGUAAUAGUGAAGUUUGCAGCCAUAUUGCAGCAAUCCUAUUUUUAGCUUAGUAUGCUCAGGGCAAGACAGACGAAGAAGAACCCAAUGUAUGUACAUAUGUUACAGCUACAUGGUUUGGAGAUAGCAACAUAUGCAUUCUCUGAUGAAAAACUAAUGAAUUUUGAAACUGUUCGGUCAGAGUGCUUGUUGCGCUCACUAAACGAAUUGAAAUAUAAGAUGGCUUUGGCAUUAUGUUGCAGUGAUAUGAAAAUGGUUAUUCAUUUUUAAUUAUAAUGUACUUCUUCAUGAGUAAUUAUGUAUUGGUCUUUUAAAUGUGUAUUUAUUUUUGUAAUUAGUAUCAACUUGUAAUGAUAAUAUACAUUUAUCGUUUAAGGUAUGACUAUGUUUUGACUCUAAAAUAAAUGUUUUAAAAAUCGACUCCUGCCUCUUUCUGUUAGUAACUACCCAUGGAUAUCACAAAUUGUGCUUACUGAUAGGUUUGUUCGUAGAACGAUCAGCAACUCUUGCCAACCAUCAGACACAUGCGCAUUCGUAGUCUAUGAAUGCUAACUAUUAACUGCACAACGCUAACUGUUAACUGCUCAUGCAUCUGAUGGUUGGCAGCAGUUGCUAAUCGUUUGUGUCGUACUAUGAACAAACCUAUUAGGUCUGGAUCCCGUGUACCAAAAAAAUUGAUUAAUAGCAAGCUGAAAAUUUGUUAAUAGCUUAAUGGUGUCCAGUUGGACAAACUUUGAUGUAUUGUGACACUGGAACAGGGGUAGUUUUAAUUGUGAAACAGUUUGGAAACUCAGAUUUGGAACAUCAGAUUACAAAAACAUCCCAUAUAUUUUGUCGGACAGAACAUCCAAUUGAUCUGUUAUCCUUUCAUUAAAUUCUCAUGCAAAAAUCAGACUGCUAUUACUAACCAACAUGAUUCCUGUAGUUUGACAUGGUCUUCGUGUUAUACUCAUUCAAAUGCCCAGUUGGUGAUUUUUUCACCAGUCUGGUUUUUGCAUGAGAGUUUAAUGAAUUGGUAGCAAA
rnacentral:lncRNA from 1 species